CUAAAUACUCCUGACUGACCGAUAGUGAACCAGUACCGUGAGGGAAAGGCGAAAAGAACCCCGGCGAGGGGAGUGAAAAAGAACCUGAAACCGUGUACGUACAAGCAGUGGGAGCACGCUUAGGCGUGUGACUGCGUACCUUUUGUAUAAUGGGUCAGCGACUUAUAUUCUGUAGCAAGGUUAACCGAAUAGGGGAGCCGAAGGGAAACCGAGUCUUAACUGGGCGUUAAGUUGCAGGGUAUAGACCCGAAACCCGGUGAUCUAGCCAUGGGCAGGUUGAAGGUUGGGUAACACUAACUGGAGGACCGAACCGACUAAUGUUGAAAAAUUAGCGGAUGACUUGUGGCUGGGGGUGAAAGGCCAAUCAAACCGGGAGAUAGCUGGUUCUCCCCGAAAGCUAUUUAGGUAGCGCCUCGUGAAUUCAUCUCCGGGGGUAGAGCACUGUUUCGGCAAGGGGGUCAUCCCGACUUACCAACCCGAUGCAAACUGCGAAUACCGGAGAAUGUUAUCACGGGAGACACACGGCGGGUGCUAACGUCCGUCGUGAAGAGGGAAACAACCCAGACCGCCAGCUAAGGUCCCAAAGUCAUGGUUAAGUGGGAAACGAUGUGGGAAGGCCCAGACAGCCAGGAUGUUGGCUUAGAAGCAGCCAUCAUUUAAAGAAAGCGUAAUAGCUCACUGGUCGAGUCGGCCUGCGCGGAAGAUGUAACGGGGCUAAACCAUGCACCGAAGCUGCGGCAGCGACGCUGAUGCGUUGUUGGGUAGGGGAGCGUUCUG
rnacentral:rRNA from 1 species